AACGAACGCUGGCGGCAUGCCUAACACAUGCAAGUCGAACGAGACCUUCGGGUCUAGUGGCGCACGGGUGCGUAACGCGAGGGAACCUGCCCUUAGGUUCGGAAUAACUCCCCGAAAGGGGUGCUAAUACCGGAUAAUGUCUUCGGACCAAAGAUUUAUCGCCUUUGGAUGGGCCCGCGUUGGAUUAGCUAGUUGGUAGGGUAAAAGCCUACCAAGGCGACGAUCCAUAGCUGGUCUGAGAGGAUGAUCAGCCACACUGGGACUGAGACACGGCCCAGACUCCUACGGGAGGCAGCAGUGGGGAAUAUUGGACAAUGGGCGAAAGCCUGAUCCAGCAAUGCCGCGUGAGUGAUGAAGGACUUAGGGUUGUAAAGCUCUUUUACCCGGGAUGAUAAUGACAGUACCGGGAGAAUAAGCUCCGGCUAACUCCGUG
rnacentral:rRNA from 1 species